GAUAUUUAUAUGUGGCGUCGUAUAGUACCAACAUGGGUUCCAAGAACAUUAAACUGGGAUUUAUCUGGCUUUCUUGUUAUCAACUUUAUGCACGAUUGGAAUGGUAUAAGGUUACCCUGCAUUUGCACUAAUGGGAAUGACCUGAGGACCAAAUUCUUAGUAGAAUUAUUGAAGUACAAGGACAAUGAAUCCAAAGACAACAUUCCAGAAGAAAU